ensembl:miRNA gmo-mir-11192 gmo-mir-11192
UCUGAUAGCUUGUAACCAACGACGUCUGCGGUUGGCAUUAAACGAGUUGUUAUCUG